GAGGUCACAAAGAGUCGGAAACGACUAUGUGACUGAGCAGCAGCAGCAAUUUAUUUGGCAGCUUCUCUCAAAAUGUAAUCUCAGGGACCAGGCAGAUCUCACGGGUCUGGUGCCAAUUUCACAGAAAAGACAAAAUAAGCCAAUGAAGAAACAAGAAAUGGGCCCAAAAGCACCAGUUACAGUGGCUGAAAAGAAUCUUAAAUGUGAUUGCCAUCCCUUCUGAAGCUGCGCUUUUUUGCUAUCUAGUAUCAGACGAAGACAGUGGCAAACUUCCUUUGAAUGAAUCUUGGCAAGAAAACCCAAUGAUAGGAUGACAACUAUAGCAACUUCAAUGUAAGAAGAGGGAUCUCGAAGUUACAUUGAAAUUCUCUAAUGAAAAAACUGUCAACUGCCACAAAAUGUUAGCCUCUCUGUGUACAAAAAGCAAUGCUUUCUAUUUUCCUUUCUUGUUAGUGUGU